CAGGUGGACUGUGAAUUAGCAGGAUUUCUUGGCCUUACACACAUAUGGCAGGGACUGGAUGAUAGGGUGGUCCCACCAUCAAUGACGGAAUACAUAGAACGGGUUUUGCCAGAAGCUGCCAUCUAUAAACUUCCAAACGAAGCUCACUUCUCCUAUUUCUAUUUCUGUGAUCAGUGCCACAGGCAGAUCUUCUCCACUCUCUUUGGAACUCCUCAGGGUCCAGUUCAACGACAACUGGAAACUGCAUUCGAGGAAGCUAAGGAAGAAACUGUUUUACCUUCUUAACUUUUUCUAGUGUUACAUUACUCUUAACUGCUGAUAUGCACGUCUUAGGUUGUAUGUAAAUACCACAGGCAGCUCCACAUCUCUAUGGAGCUAGAAAGAAGAAAAUGUUCGUUAUAAAUGCUCGGAAUUUUGAACCAUGAGAGUUUUUGGAGACAUAGGUACACCAAGAAUAUCACACAAUGUUUCUCCUUUCUUUAAGCAAAUUGAAGUAGAAUUUGUCUAA